GCGGAGGAAAAGAAACCAACAGGGAUUGCCUCAGUAACGGCGAGUGAAGCGGCAACAGCUCAAAUUUGAAAUCUGGCCCCCAGGCCCGAGUUGUAAUUUGUAGAGGAUGCUUCUGGCGACGCGCCUUCCGAGUUCCCUGGAACGGGACGCCAAAGAGGGUGAGAGCCCCGUCCGGUCGUGCGCCUAGCCUCUGUGAAGCUCCUUCGACGAGUCGAGUAGUUUGGGAAUGCUGCUCUAAAUGGGAGGUAUACGUCUUCUAAAGCUAAAUACCGGCCAGAGACCGAUAGCGCACAAGUAGAGUGAUCGAAAGAUGAAAAGCACUUUGAAAAGAGGGUUAAAUAGUACGUGAAAUUGCUGAAAGGGAAGCGCUUAUGACCAGACUUGGGCUUGGUGAAUCAUCCGGCGUUCUCGCCGGUGCACUUUGCCGGUCCAGGCCAGCAUCAGUUUGCUUCGGGGGAUAAAGGCUUCGGGAAUGUAGCUCCCUCGGGAGUGUUAUAGACCGUUGCGUAAUACCCUGGGGCGGACUGAGGUACGCGUUCUGCAAGGAUGCUGGCGUAAUGGUCAUCAGUGACCCGUCUUGAAACACGGACCAAGGAGUCGUCUUCGUAUGCGAGUGUUCGGGUGUAAAACCCCUACGCGUAAUGAAAGUGAACGUAGGAGAGAGCUUCGGCGCAUCUCCGACCGAUCCUGAUGUUCUCGGAUGGAUUUGAGUAAGAGCAUACGGGGCCGGACCCGAAAGAAGGUGAACUAUGCCUGUAUAGGGUGAAGCCAGAGGAAACUCUGGUGGAGGCUCGCAGCGGUUCUGACGUGCAAAUCGAUCGUCAAAUAUGGGCAUGGGGGCGAAAGACUAAUCGAACU
rnacentral:misc_RNA from 1 species